GGGUUGUUAGCUCAGUGGUAGAGCAGUUGGCUUUUAACCAAUUGGUCGAAGGUUCGAAUCCUUCACAACCCACCA
rnacentral:tRNA from 1 species